UGGGGAAUUUUGGACAAUGGGCGAAAGCCUGAUCCAGCAAUGCCGCGUGUGUGAAGAAGGCCUUCGGGUUGUAAAGCACUUUUGUCCGGAAAGAAAUCCUUGGCUCUAAUACAGUCGGGGGAUGACGGUACCGGAAGAAUAAGCACCGGCUAACUACGUGCCAGCAGCCGCGGUAAUACGUAGGGUGCAAGCGUUAAUCGGAAUUACUGGGCGUAAAGCGUGCGCAGGCGGUUUGCUAAGACCGAUGUGAAAUCCCCGGGCUCAACCUGGGAACUGCAUUGGUGACUGGCAGGCUAGAGUAUGGCAGGAGGGGGGUAGAAUUCCACGUGUAGCAGUGAAAUGCGUAGAGAUGUGGAGGAAUACCGAUGGUGAAGGCAGCCCCCUGGGCCAAUACUGACGCUCAUGCACGAAAGCGUGGGGGAGCAAACAGGAUUAGAUACCCUGGUAGUCCACGCCCUAAACGAUGUCAACUAGUUGUUGGGGAUUCAUUUCCUUAGUAACGUAGCUAACGCGUGAAGUUGACCGCCUGGGGAGUACGGUCGCAAGAUUAAAACUCAAAUGAAUUGAC
rnacentral:rRNA from 1 species